rnacentral:rRNA from 1 species
UGGGGAAUCUUGGACAAUGGGCGCAAGCCUGAUCCAGCCAUGCCGCGUGGAUGAUGAAGGCCUUAGGGUUGUAAAAUCCUUUCGUUGGGGACGAUAAUGACGGUACCCAAAGAAGAAGCUCCGGCUAACUUCGUGCCAGCAGCCGCGGUAAUACGAAGGGGACUAGCGUUGUUCGGAAUCACUGGGCGUAAAGCGCACGUAGGCGGAUUUGUAAGUCAGGGGUGAAAUCCCGGGGCUCAACCUCGGAACUGCCUUUGAUACUGCGGAUCUCGAGUCCGAUAGAGGUGAGUGGAAUUCCUAGUGUAGAGGUGAAAUUCGUAGAUAUUAGGAAGAACACCAGUGGCGAAGGCGGCUCACUGGAUCGGUACUGACGCUGAGGUGCGAAAGCGUGGGGAGCAAACAGGAUUAGAUACCCCAGUAGUCCCUGAGCGGGCUGGCAAGGCGCAU